GGCACCGCCCUGGCUCACACGGGCAGGCACACUCCAUGGGUGGGUGGCCUGGGGCAGCAGGGCACCUCCAUCCAUGUGGUGUUUCCUCACAGGUUCUUUGUGCCAUGGCUGUCUCAGAGCAAGUUUCCAAGAGGCAACAGCUCUCAGACCUCAAGAAGGUCUGGAGAUUGAUAGUCUGAAGGCUGGCUUCAUUUCUCAACAAUGCUGCAAUGGACCCAGGUUCCUAUCUUCCUACUCUGUCACCUGUGGGAGUUGUCUCUUCAUCUUCAUGCCUGUUGCCUCAUGAUAGCAAGAUGGUUGCUGCAGCUCCAGACAUCAUGGCUACAUUAAAGGUGGAAAGCAAAGAUGACUUUGAGAGGCAAAGAUGUUUCCAACAAACAUUAUCCGGAUAUGCUGACUGUACCAGCCUCAUCGCUGCUGGAAAAGGUGCCCCGUCUCGGUGCAUCAGACCUUUAGUAAGAGUUUACGGUCCGUUUUCAAGGUGCAUUACCUUCCACAUAGGUAUUCCGUGGAUUGCAGAAAUGCCAUCCACCGGAGCUAAAGGGUUCUAUCUCCAUCUGCAUAAUUCCCGAUGCUGUCAGUCGGCGUGACAUGUGUGCACUGGGCCUCUCACGGCCAUCUGGCAGCCUCUCUGAAAUCACAGCUUCCCCUGCACCCCCCCAGCCCUGUCCUCCAUCAGGAAUGGGGUCCCUGAGCCAAGACUAUCGGUAAAGCACGAUCGGG
rnacentral:lncRNA from 1 species